UGCAUUCUUAAUUGCUAGAGCUAACAUGCUCUCAGCAUGGUCUUUUAAUUACACCCUAAUAAUUUAUUAUAGUUUCUCUCUACAAUGUAAAGUCUUGGAAAUCACCCACUAAAAAGUACCUGUGUACUCUGGGGCUUUGGCAGGCUAGGACAGAACUUCUGAGAACACGGUGUGUUCCAGAGAAGACAAUCAAUCUGAGAGGACUUACACAGAAACAGUUCAUUCAGGACCUGGCUUCUGGCUUUUAUCUCAGAUCUGAGGAUUUCACAAUCACUUGGAGAUACCUACAAGUGUAUAGCACACCUUGGAUAUUACUCUUAAUGAUUACUUCAGUUUGUAAAGAGGUGACUCCACCAACAGCAAAGGAGAGGGCCCAGCCCCAGCCACCAGGAAUACAGUUCUCUGCCAAAAUCUUUUGAAACUUGGCACGGUAUUCAAAAGUCCGUGGAAAGAAAAAAACCUUGUCCUGGCUUCAGCUUCCAACUACAAAGACAGACUUGGUCCUUUUCAACGGUUUUCACAGAUCCAGUGACCCACGCUCUGAAGACAGAAUUAGCUAACU
rnacentral:sRNA from 1 species